rnacentral:misc_RNA from 1 species
CCGAGUGAGGGUCCUCGUGGCCCAACCUCCCACCCGUGACUAUUGUACCUUUGUUGCUUCGGCGGGCCCGCCAGCCCCGUGCUGGCCGCCGGGGGGCCUUGUGCCCCCGGGUCCGCGCCCGCCGGAGACCCCAACAUGAACACUGUUCUGAAAGCCUGUAUGAAUCCGAUUCUUUGUAAUCAGUUA